AUAUUUGAAAAAACUUGAAGUUACAAGUAUGCGUGUAUAUGCUGUAUGUGCACAGAUGCCCCAACGCGAGGGAAGGACCAUUAAACCCAAAACGCGCGUGCCCGUGUGUUCGCACAGACGUGUGCUUCGGCGCCUGCACACGGCCGGCGCGCAGGCACGCAGACGCCUACACGAAUACAUAGGCAUGUGUUACUGACGCAUCUGGGGCACUUUCUUUCAAAGAAAGUAGGGAAUGAAAAUCCAAUCUGAGAGUCAUCAGGGUUCAUCUGGAGGUCGCCCAAGGGGUAGAAAAAAUUUAUAACGACGCUAGAGUGUUUGUCCUUGGUGCAACUCCGUUCCCGGGAGGGCUGGACACGAUACGUUUCGAAAGUUCGAGGGGCUGCCUUAGGAUCUGGGGGCAGGGGGUGGGGUACUCAGCAACUCUUGCCGCGGGCGGCUCUAGAAACGUGGAAACACACCCUGAGACUUUCCACUCCCCCGUACAUAUAGGCACGCGAUUCCGUCGCCACCUCUCGGACCAGCAGCCCACGUCCAACGCUGGGCCGACCUCAAAUUCCCAGGCAGUCAGGAUUCCCGCCCGGUGCGCUUUUCUAUUCAUCCCUCUGCGUAAGGCUGGGACGCGCUCCAUCUCGGCGGGAGACGUCGCGCAACCGCUGAGCCCUGUCCGCGGAGACUAAACAAGGAGAGGAACAGGCUGUAAACACACAUCCUGACACACAAGCAGACCCGGCGCAUAAUGAGGUAGCAGCCUCCAGCCGGCCACCGUGACUAACUCAGAACAAAAGCGCUGACUCCACGCCUCCUCCAACAAAGGGGCCACCAGCCCCGGCGCUCCCCGAAGGCUGCGGGACUCCCGGCUGCCGGCUGCGGAGCUGCCGCGCGCAAACUUCCCGGAGCUCCCGGGGCUGCCGGCGCCAAGGAGCCGGGGCCGCGGAGGGAGGAAUCGCAAGCCACCCGGAGAAAGCAGGGAUGUUGCUCUUGGAGAAUGUGAAGACAGUUUGCUUCUUGACAAGCGAGCGAGCGGGCGCCCAGAUUUUUGCAGCCUUUCCGAGUCUCCCCCGAGGGAGAGGCGGCAGAGAAAACGCCGGAUUUGGGAGCCGCCAGGGAAGGAUUCCGCGCAGGGGAGCCGCCCUCCUUGGCCCCAGACCCCCCUGCCUGGGGCCCCCUUUGCGCAUUGCCAAUGUAUGGCCUGAAGCUCUGAGGAUGGUGCUGGGGACUGGGGAAGACUCUUGAAUAAUAACUGCAAAGAAGAAAGAGGCGAGAAUGUCCCCCGCCCCACCUUGAAGCAGAAAGGACUGUGUUCUUAAAGCUGUUGGCUGCAGUCACAGGGCCAGUUGCCCGCCUCUAUUCCCUGAGUAAAGUGUAGCAUCUUCUGUCUUCCUGGCUUGCUUGCACCAUUCAGCAAAUUAUACCCUUUCCUCACCACAGUGGGAAUGCUCAGGGAAGUGUGUGUGUGUGUGUGUGUGUGUGUGUGUGUGUGUGUGUGUGUGUGUGUUUCCCCUCUACACUGAGCCUGCUGUUAGAGAGGUUACCAUGUAACACUUCCAAAAACCUGGAGGUUUACAUUUUGUAAAGGAAAGGGACACUCCUGGUCUGUCUCAACCCCAAUUCUAGUCAGAGUGGCAGGGACUGAACAAAGCCACCAACAUGGGGAAGUCCAUCUUCAGGGUAUCAUGCAUUCCCCCAGGAAACCCCCAGUGUGUAUGCUUCCUGCACUUUCCCCUUCUCUCUAACCUCUGUCUCCUGUUUGUAAAGCAGAGGAAGGGUGAUUCCCUGCCACUGCACAGGAAUGCGGGGUUACGGUUAUCUCCAAGAAAGGGUGGGGUGAGGCUGAGACACAGGGAGAGCACAAAAGCUCUGUAUCUUCAACGAGGACACCCCCUCACCACCACCACCUUUCCCAGGCUUGUGGGCCUCAUUCAGCAAAGCAGGGAGUGUUUUAUAUUGGUGUGAGAGGCUGUCAGUCAGCAGCAAAUCAGUUCAGGCAUAUCUCUUUCUUUCUGAAAUCAACUCAUUGCCUUGGUCACACUAUACAGAAAAUCUGCUUAUCACCGCUAUCGACAAUAAAAAUUAGUGGAGUCUUA